CUUUGUUUUCUUCCGAAAACAAGCUCAAUGAGAGCCAUCGGGGGUAGAUCUAUCUCAUGACGAGUGGUGGAAUACUUUGACUCAUGAGAGAGAAGCUGAGGCGAAGGCGUCUACCUAGAGGGUUUCUGUCGAUCAAGGGCGAGAGUAGGAGUAUCCAACAGGAUUAGAGACCCUGGUAGUUCCUACCUUAAACGAUGCCGACAGGAGUUUGUCAUUUGUUAAUGGCAGAAUCUUUGGAGAAAUCAUAGUUCUUGGGCUCUGGGGGAACUACGACCGCAAGGCUGAAACUUGAAGGAAUUGACGGAAGGGCACACCAGGGGUGGAGCCUGUGGCUUAAUUUGAAUCAACACGGGGAAACUUACCAGGACCAGAUGUUUUUUAUGACUGACAGGCUUCGGGUCUUUCAGGAUAUUGUUUUUGGUGGUGCAUGGCCGUUGGUGGUGCGUGGGUUGACCUGUCUAGCGUUGAUUCAGCUAACGAGCGAGAUUAUCGCCAAUUAUUUACUUUGCCGAAGUCCUUCGGUUAAAGUUCUAAUUGGGACUCCCUGCGAUUUUAGCAGGUGGAAGAGGGUAGCAAUAACAGGUCCGUGAUGCCCUUUAGAUGCUCUGGGCUGCACGCGUGCUACAAUGUUAGGAUCAAUAGGACUGCGAGCCUGAGAGGGUGCGCUACUCUUAUAAUCCCUAACGUAGUUGGGAUUGACGUUUGUAAUCAGCGUCAUGAACCAGGAAUCCCUUGUAAAUGUGUGUCAACAACGCACGUUGAAUACGUCCCUGCCCUUUGUACACACCGCCCGUCGCUCCUACCGAUUGGAUGACUCGGUGAAAUCACCGGAUGCUUACGAGCAGAAAGUGAUUAAAUCACGUUAUCUAGAGGAAGGAGAAGUCGUAACAAGGUAACGGUAGGUGAACCUGCCGUUGGAUCAGUU
rnacentral:ncRNA from 1 species